AUUAACAUAUGGACACUGGCAAACACCUCUGUCACAUCCAGAUAGGAUACUUUCUAUGGAACAAAAUUGCCAGAGUUCAGAAAAACUUUGUGUGUAGCCUUUUAGUGACACCAUUUGUCUGAGAUGCUCUUCUUAAGUAAAAUCAAUGCUAAUUUUGCAUUUCCCUCAUGGGAACCUGUUAAGCUGAGUACACGAGGCAUUUUUAACCUCAGACACAUCACAGGGGCAAGUCAGCACUGGAUUCAAUCCAAUGAGGAACUUUGGAAUACACAAUUCUAUGUCUGGGUGACUUGGUUACUGGAUUUUUAAGGACUUUCUGAUGCACUGUGUCACUGGAGAUUCUCAUCUGGAGUAUAUUUUAAUCCCUUCCCUCUCUAAUACUUCACACAGUCUCUCUUUGCCUACUUGACAGUUGUUAUGGAGCAGCAUUUAAUGCUUGUGUUCAGAAUUCUUCCCUUCUGGAGUUUGUAGAUGCCUAAAAAGCAAUAAUCUGGGUGGAAACUUGGUUCUAAAUUAUUUUAAUUUGAACAACAAACAAUCUCUUGGGCCACUGAAGAUCUGCUGGCUUGCAAGUCAAUAUGGAUGGGAACUUCUAAGCAGUCUAGGCUGGCUGUAUGAGUGUAUUCCACGGGAAUAGAGUGGAGCAGGAAACUGGAAGGGCAGAGGAAGAAAAAGAGGUUUAGCUUUAUUAUUAUUUGUGAAGUGGCUUUUCAAAACAAGGAAUAGAACAAGCAAGUUCAGAAUGGAAAAUGUGGCAAAAUGUGUAGGCCAAAAUAAAGUGACUUUAUCCCACACUGUAGUAGGUGUCUCAUUAGUUUUCCUCAGAAAACAUUGGGGAGACACUAAGGAGAGAGCAAUUAGGCCAGGUCUGAGCAUAACCAGCUGCCUCUGACACAGUCCAAAUGUGCCCAUCUGUUCCCAAAAGGAGAGAAAAUGUUUCUCUAAACACUGGGGAAGAGGUCAAGCCAAAAGUGCCGCAGGCUCAGAGGAGCAGGUGAUUCAAAUAGAGUUGUUUUCCAGGUAAAACCUUUUCAUUAAGAGCUUUAAUAUUUAACAGUUCACAUUCUCAAAAAAAAGUUUCCCCAUUUCCUUUUUGUCUCCUCUCCCACAGUGUAAUUCACCUCUUAUGUUAGCAUAAAAGUCUGAAUUUAAACUAAAUUUGUUGUAAAAUCACGCCCCAAGUAAGGAAAUUUUAGAAAUGGCAUAAUGACUGCAAAUGAGGAAAAGGAAGCUGUGAAGGGGACAGGGAUGGGAAGAGAAAACUGCACAUGUUCUGUUGCAUUCCAUAACUGAAGGCUAGAGGGAGAAUUUGGAAUAAAAAUCACCAUAUUAUUAUUACCCAAAUUAUCUCCCCCUUUGGGUGUACAUUGUGGCUGGGAGGAAGAGCAAGGAGCAAUGCUGGGUAGGGGCUGAAGAGAACUUUCUGUGAAUUAUUUCCCUUACUGAGCUGUGGUGGCCCUGUGCUGUUGCCUGAUAGCAUCAGUUUGUGCUUCCUAAGUUUAAAUAUUUGGAAAAUCUCUCACUGCCACACCUGUGUUAGAAUUACUAAACAAAGGGAUGAGGAGGCCAGUCUCAGUCAGAAUGGAAUGGAAAAAAAGGAGCUAAAACAUGAGGUUCUGUCCCAUUUUCUGACAACUUUUCACCCAAAGUGACCAGCAGGCAUGUAUCUUAGAAUCCCCAAAAUAAUAAAAUUUAGUUUAAAAAUGCUGAAACUCAUGCAUCCCCUCGAAGUACUGCAUUACUUAAAGAGCACAGACUCAAGCAAAUGAGUUGUGAGUCGUGUUAAAGAACUUUUUCAAGCUGAUUCAAAACUUUGCUUCUUGCUGCUCUGUAAAAUCAGCGCAUUUCAUCUGCCUCUUCUCCUGGGCAACAAGUGACAGGAUGAGAGGAAAUGGCCUCAAGGGAUGCCCAGGGAGGUUCAGCUUGGACAUCAGGAAUAAUUUCUUCACUGAAAGGGUGGCCAACCAUUGGAAGGGGCUGCCCAGGGAGGUUUGGAGUCCCCAGCCCUGGAGGUGCCCAAGGAAGGACUGGCCGUGGCACUCAGUGCUCUGGGCUGAGGGAAAAGGUGGGGAUGGGGAACAGGUUGGACUCGAUGAUCUUGGAGGUCUUUUCCAACCUUCAUGAUUCUAUGAUUCUAUUCUGUCAUUCUGAGAUCCAGGAUAACGACCAGGCCACAAACUCUGAUGUACUUUCAUACUCAGUGAGCUGCCUCAGACGCCUCCACGCUUUGGCCCUCGUGUCAUGGCAGUGAGUGCGAGUCAAUUUUUCUGAAAAUAAGCAGAAUUUUUCAUCUGAUCUGCUGUAACUGAAAUGGCUGUAAAAGUUAGCACACUUAAGAUAAAAAAGUAGCCAUUCCCUCUCCCUGCCACCCCUGGACACAAGUGCAGAUAACUCCUUGGAUCUAUACACAACGUCGACUUUGUGAAAACGUGAAAAUGUUGUUUUGAUAGAUCACAAGCAUCAUUCGGUGGCUCAAAGGAUACUAAAAUGUCACAGCGAAGCAAAUCAGCAUUCUCAUUCUUUAUUCCUGUCUUUGAGGAUACACUUUGCAAACUAUGGAGAAAACAGAUAGUUGUGUCUAGGAGUUAGGAGAGUCAGAAUAUUGCUGUACUGCAAUGAUAUUAAUGAUAUUUAUCUCUCACAUAAGGCUUUACCCUUUUCCUUUAUAAAUCUCUUCUUGUGCAGUAGUAAUGCAGUAAGUGCUGUCUCCAUUUUGCAUGAGCAUAGAGAAAACAUCAAAUUUGCUUCAAAGCUUUGCUAGGUUUAACGUUCGGUAUGUAAACAUCAUCUAGGCCCCCUUUGUACAGAUUUUAGGCCUUGUGUUCCAAAUAUUUCUCUCAUUAAGUUUGUGUUUUAUGUUUGAUUCUGCUCUGUCUCGAUUGUUACCUCUUUUUGGAUUUUACUUUGAAUAUUUUAAGACAUGAAAAUAUAAGAAAUCACCUAUUUUAUCUUGGUACUCAUUUGCACCCACCUAUGUAUUCUUAUAAUAUUUAUCAAUCUGCCUGAAGAAUGCAAAAUGCAAUACAAGCAAAGUAAGGAAUUAUAUGAAAGAAGCUUAACUGAGUGAAGAGGAGAAAAUAGGCAUAUUAAGGAAAAAUGGAGCUAUACUAAUUUUUUCCAUCUUCUUAUUUGACUUGGAAAACGUCAAACCUAAAUCUACAUUUCAGGGGUUUGUGAACACUGCAGAAAAAUCCUCAGCUCUUUGAGACAGAGGGUAACUUCUGUGUUUUGUUGACACUGUGCUCUCUAAACAUAGAUGACCACUUGUUUCUGUGGCUGCAGCCUAAAACCUGUUUUAGGACACAGCAGACUGACAGAGCCAAGCUUAAAGGCAUUUAAGAUAUUUGGAAUUGGACUUUUGGAAGCUCCUCCUUACACGCUUUCAUUAUUUUCUCUUUUUAAUUACUCACAUUUCCCAAAUAAAUACUGUUUCAGAAGACAUGAAAGAGUAAUUUGAAGUCUAACAAAUGUCUCUCUAUAUAAUUUAUUUCUUUUAAUCAGCACUGACCUUUUGAAUUGAUUGUCUGAGAUUUACGGGAGGAACAGUGAAAGACCACAGACAUCCAUGACUGAAGGGACUUAAAUGACUUGCAUUUCUGAAAACAAACACUUUGUGAUACUAAUUGAAAGAGCUGCAGCAGGAACAGAAAGCUAUGAUUUAAAGUUUUUGCAACCUGGAAAACAUUCAAUGUUGAUGACUUUUUCUUUGUUUAUAAAUGGUUUUACAUAUGUCUUGACCUUGUGGGUAACAUGACUAAUAACAUCCAGUUUAGUUGAAUUAUUAGACAGUAGAUGCCCAGGCUUUUGGAAGAGCCUUAGCCUGUAAAUAAAGAUAAUAAAUCAGAUAUUUCAAUUUGCCUUCCACCUGUUAAACAUCCUGUAUGGAGCUACACUGGCUGCAGGUUGGAGAUCUAGCAAUGCACAGAUCAGAAAAUGGCAAUUUUUAUUGCUGUAGCUGUUUGUCACUGGCCCUCAAAUCCUAAAUGGAUGACACAGCUGCUUAUUUUGGGGCACUUUUUAUGCUUACCUGCCAGUUUGAGGGGAAGCAGCAUGUUCCUUCAGUGUAUAAUAAGGAGCCUUUGGGAGAUACUGAGUAAUUCAGGUCAAAAUGUGUUUGUCCCUGUAGAUGGGUGUGUCUUCCUUGGAAAUUCCCAUAAUGAUAGAAGAAGCUUACUCCUGGGAAGUGAAAUUGUGAAACUUGCCUUAUGUCUUUAAAGUGGAAAACACUUAGAUCAGGAAGAAAAUUGCCUGGUUGAGUUGGAUUUUAAUCUUCAUCUACCUUGUUCUAAGUUGACUGGCUGUUUGGAUGAUGUUCCCCCCAAAAAGUAUUCUGCUCUCUGAGGAAAGAAUAUUGUUUCCUUACAAAAAUAAAAAUCAGGAAUGGGAAAGAGAGAAAGGCACAUUGGGAGCAGUGGGCCUCAAUUUAGAGGUUGGUAGUUUAUUCUUCAGGUAAUACUGGCAGUUCUUGCACAUGAGAAGUCAUAAAUAGUCAUAAAUCUCUUUGUUCAUAGAAUGGCCUGGGUUGGAAGGGACCUUAAAGAUCAUCCAGUUCCAACCCCCUGCCAUGGGCAGGGACACUUUCCACUAGCCCAGGUUGCUCCAAGCCCCAUCCAACCUGGCUUUGGACACUUCCAGGGAUGGGGCAGCCACAGCUUCUCUGGGCAACCUGUGCCAGGGCCUCCUCACCCUCACGGUAAAGAAUUUAAUUCUAAUAUCCAAUGUCAACCUACUCUGUAGGUUUUGUAUUACCAUUGCUUGGUAAAACUUGUAGGGAAACUGCAGAUGUCAGUUAAGGAACCUGACAUUUUUAUCUGUAGUGUUCCUAAUCUAAUAGAUUUACUUCUCUUGAUUUCACACCAAAUUUCUGAAAAUGUUGUGACUAGACAGGAACAUAAAAAGCACUAUAAUAUGAUACCUGUUGACAGAACUGAUUAAGACUAAAAACUGAGUAAAGUAAUUACCCCAGUACGUGUCAGAGGUCACUGAAAAAGUGUAUUCAAGGCUGCUGAUGUGAAGCAGCUCAAUAUUCUGUUCUCUACGGAUGUUUUUAAAAGCAAGUUGCUCUGUAAUGGAAUCCUCUUUUCAUUGGAUUGUCACCACUGACUGCUCUAUUAUGUGUUCAAUUAUUAUAUAUUUUAAAAAAUAUGACUUGUUCUGAAGGAUGAUGGUUAAAAAAAAUGCCACCAUGACAGUUUGGGAAAACGUUGUAGCUGUUACCCAGUAUGCCACCUGGCUUCCCUAUUGUGAAGCAAGGCAGUUAUUGCAGAGUUCCCAUUUUAUGCAAAGGCAUAGCUCUUUUAUUUUGCCUCAAAGGGUGGGUAAUUUCCAUUUUAAAAGCAAAACAUUCACUUGACCUCCGUAGUUGUUUUGUCUUGGAAAAGACUGAAUCACCCAGAUUUAGAGCUGCUGGUACUGCUUCCCCUUCCACAGAUGUGUGGAUUCCUCCCUCUUUACAGCGUGUGCUGCAUUUUAGUUAGUGCAUGACCAGACAUCACAUUCACACUGAUAGGAAAAUUCACAUUGCUUAUGUACAAGAGGAAGGAGGAGGACAGAAAAGAGCAAGAGAAUGAUGUAUAAUGAAGAUUUCAGCAAAGUGCCUGCCUGGUCUGGAUGCAAUGCCAUGCUAAUAUAUAACCUUAAUGAUGAUCCCCAUGUAGCCUGUUUUUUUUUUUACUGGAAAUGUCAACCAUUUCUUCCCGUGUAAAAACCACGAUGCUUAUUUUUGUUUUGCCCAAUUUCACCUAAAAAGAUGCAUCACAAAACCUCCUCAAGUGCUUAAGAUUCGUGUUAAAGCCGUGGUUAUUAAUCAGAGUGAAAAUGAGCAGAGUGGCCUCGUUUCGCGAAACUUCUCAAUGUUGUGUGAGGAAAAUAAUUCCAGUGGUAUUUUCUCCCUCUAGGAAACGUGGGGACAUUUUAUUAUUCACCACAGUAUUCUGAUGAGACAAACCAGUCUCUGGGCUUCAGCAAAUGAGGCAACUGCCUGGGGCAGAGGCUGCCAGAAGGGCCUGAGCAUCCUUGGCCUCACUCCCUGUUUUCCCACAGCACAGGAGAGCCCUGGGGAGGAUUUAGCAACAGUUUGCAUUCCACCAUCACACAUGGCACUGGGAAUCUGCAGUGCACACAUCUGCUUUUUUUAAAUUUAAUUAUUUAUUUGUUUGUUUGUUGCUGUGGAAGGUGAUAAUCACUUGAGGUGUAGUUGCUGUGUGAUGGUUGGUCCGGAUCAGGACCAUCAAAGAAAUUUCUCUGUGCUCCACCAAGGUCUCAGGUGCAUCGGGUGUGUUGUCCUCCGCUGUUCCUCUGGGAUUUCUCCUGUAGUUUUUUUGUCUAAGGAGCAAACACAACAUGCUGAUGCAUCUCUCAGCCCAAAAGCUGCCUGCCCUUCAGAAGGAAGGGAGCUUUGCUCUGCUGAGCAGACCUUGAGAAAAAUUACCUUACUGAAGAUUGAGCACCGUGGGACUGUGACCUGUGUGUGUGUGUGUGUGUACAGAGACAGGUAAAGGGAAGGCAGAGGAGAGAAAGAUGAAUGGGAGAGUGUUCCUAUUAAUUGCUCCUUGCUGAAAAACCUCUACUUGGAGAGAUGCUUCAGCAAGAGGUGACAGCACCAGAAUAUGAAUGGGGACAGUGUGGUCUUUAUGUUGCCCUUUGUAAAUGGAUUAUUGCCUUCUGGCUGUGGUUUACUGUCACUGGCGUGUUCUGCUUGUGAGCAGAAGGUUGUGCCUUCCAAGCAAUUGUCUAAAAAUGGAAAAUCUCUUUCCCAUAUUUAAAAAAACGAGACUCUGGCUGGUUUUGUGCAAACAAAACAUACACAGAGGUAGACAGUGGCUUCAUAUAACGUGUUUAUCUUUGAAUUUUGCUUUAAAAAAAAAAAAAAAGCAGAAUUUGGAACAUAUUUCAGCGUGGAGGUCAGAGAAAUGUGUGUCUUGUCUAAUGAUAAGCAAAGGACAUCUGGUUAUACCAUCCAUCAGUCUAUUGCCUAAAGCAAGAGAUAUUCAAGUUUGACAUGUCUGUUUUGGGAGGGGGAGGGAGGAGAGGAGGGAUAGCAGCCUGUUUUAUCAAAAUGCAGGAGCUGAAGUUGGUGGUUUUCUUUGUUUUGGUUUGUGGUUGCUUUUUUCCCCCCCAGAAUUACUUUUAAUUGUAUGUACUGUGUUCACUCCUUGUGAGUGCUACCCAAAAAUCUAAUCACCUAAUGCUCCCCAAAAGAUUAAAAUAUAAAUUACCUAGAAUAUGAAUUUAAAAUAAUUUGAACAUUAAGAAUAUUUGAACACUAGUUUGAUGUUUUCUUAUUCUAGCUUUAGAUUGCAAAGGAUUCUAGAAGUUAUGUUCCUUCUCAUUAAUAUUCAAAAAAUAUCCUAAAAGAUAAAAGCCCUUCACUUAAAGAUAUUGACUGUUCUCCCCUGGAUUUGAACAUGGGUCAGAAUGUCAGUCCAGCUUGCUUAUGAUUAUAGUUACUACUAUAUUAUUGAUUAAUUCACAAUAUUUGUAUUGUGUUGUUAAUCUCAAUAAAAAUAAGAAUUAAAAAAUAGUUCAUAGUUCCUAAUCAGUAUUUCGCCCUACUAAAAUGUGUUAUUUUCUAGCUUUCUGAUAUUUGCCAUGCAAUCAGUUCAUGCAGAUUUCUAAAUUUUUAAAAUGGAAAAAUGGAAAAAAAAGUGUUCUUUUUCUUCUUUCACUUUUCUUUUUCAUUUUUCUUUUUCCUUCAGAAAAUAUUUGGGAAUGUGCUGCACUGUGACAUUUCUUUCAGAUCGUUACUUACAUCCCUUUUAAAGUAGUCUUUUGACACCGAGAAAGUUCCUUGUUGCCUGGGUUUUGUUUUCUUUUCUUUUCCCUUCUGAUGAAGAAUUCCUUUAGAACAGGCUUCUUGGUUUUAUAUCUAAAUCUCUUUGAACGCUCCCAGUUCAUUUUAUGGAUUUGCUUAUUGCAGCCUGCUUUGUGUUCCUCGUUUGAAAGGAACCUUUUAGAAACCUCAGUCCAGGCUGGAUGGGGCUCUGAGCAACCUGGGCUGGUGGAAGGUGUCCCUGCCCACGGCAAAGGGUUGGAACUGGAUGUCCUUUAAGGUCCCUUCCAUCCCAAACCAUCUCAUGAUUCUAUGACUUUAUGAUUUAGCUCCUCUGUGGUGCCACUGAAAAUCUGUUGUGUUCAUUCCGUGGAAGGUUUGGUCAGAAAUGGAUGAAAUUGGUUUUUAGAGAGGUUUUAUAAGCAAAUUACUAGUAUCAAAUUUUUUUGCUGUAAAAACAUUCUCUGAACAUAAGUGAAAACCUUCCUCUGAAGCUCAAACCUUCAACACCAAAACAUUUCUGGUUCAAGACAGAUGCAGUUUUGAAAAUCUUAUUGUUUAAAGAUAACUUAUUUUUUUUUUACAGCUACAAUUUGUUUUCUGUCUGUGUAUUGGUAGAAAGGGCAAAUAUAAGUUUGUACUUGAGCAUUUAAUAGAACUGGCUGUGGCAAUGACUGAUUUGGUUCUUUAGUAAUAGGUGAAACAAGUCUGUAACUGGGCUUUUAUUGCAGCUGCAUGAAUAAUCAAAUUUUUGUUCAGUUUGCUUACAAAGCCAAAUAAACACAUCAGUUUUUAAGGUUGUUUUUUGUCGUUUUUUUUUACAAUAUGCAUCAAAAUCUGCUUUUUCCAAUUCUUCCCCUGGCUGAGAUGUACAAAAGAUAUCAGGCUUCCUGUGAGCCUCACAAAAUAUUUAUCACACUGAAGGAAAACCUUUGUGUGCCCUAUCAGCAUAUAUUCAACUAAAGCAAUAAACUGCAAAGGAUUAGAUUUGAACACAACUGAUUGAUUUUGGUAUCUAACACUGAAUGUCUUCCUGCAUAUCAUGCUCUUCAAAACUGCACUUCUUUUUCUCAGACCCAUUUUGAAACCUAUUUUGAGCCAUAAGUCUCCUCUAGUUUCUCUGGCUCCUUAGGCAGAUGUCCGUCUGUCUUUUUUCCCCUCUGUUUUUCAAAGCACUGAUGAAACCAUUCCCACUUUUCCAUUUAUAUUGUAGUGAGCCCCUCUUACUGCCUGCUGUGGGAACAGUUUCAUAAUCAUAAAUAUUGUGGUCUCCUAGUUUGCAGAUGUAAAAAAUUUUAAUAACCAGAGACCAGAACUAGUCUGUUUUGUUUCUGUUCAUCACUUGCUACUGAGACAGGGAUUUAUAAAAUCCCCCCAAAAGAUAAAUAACUUAAUUUCUGGCCUUUCAGAGAUUAAUCUCUGCAGUUUAAAUGCAAAUGUUAUUAUUUCUUUUAUAUUUAAAUGAAAAUUAGCAUUGCAAUAACAGGUGCUGCUGGGGAAGCUGGGGCUUUCUUUUCUUUUUUUCCCCCCAGUGUCUGAAGUUAGAGAACUAAAAUCUCAUAGAAAAUAGAUAUUGCAAGCAUCCCAAAACAUCCUUGCUAUGUGUAGGUAAUGAAGUUAUAGGCUUUGUGACCUAUAUUUUCAUUAUACAUUGUGUUUCAAAAUAUACGUAGUUGACAUUUUUUUCCCUUUUAAGGUUUAAACUGGUGGAAGUACAGCUUUUGCAUUGCUCAGGAUGUUGGUAAAGUGUAAAAACUUGAUGCUGAAUUAAACUGUGGAAUAGAGGAGUGUGUGUUGGUAGGUGGUUUUGGAGGACUUUUAAAAAUGUGAUGCACUAAUACCUGGGUGAAGAUAAAAAUCUUGUAGCUGGGGGGAAAAAAAAGUGGGAAACAUAAAGAUAUGCCAUUGGAGAGGUCAUAUAAUCUUAAAACUUUGCCCCAAAUAAUACAUCACUGACUAAAUUAAAUGAAUUAAAAGCGAAACUCCACCUACCACUUAGAAAUAUGCAAACUCUAAGAAAGACAUUGGGUUGGGCAUUAGAGCUUCUGAAUAAAUUUUAAAAAAUCUCAUUUCCAGGGGAAAACGUUUUUCUGACUUGUGUUACUUAGUUAAUCAGAAGUGGUUUGCAAGCCACCCUUCUAUGAACUUAAAAAUAAGAGUAUCUCAUGUGCUUAUAAUAAAUAGAAAAAAGCCUAGAGGUGCUUUAUGUUUAAGCAGUGCUCUUCUGUUGUUACAAAGGCACAACUAAUUAGCACAACAGUGGCAACUCAAGGAUUCUGUUUCAGGAAUGGAAGUAACAGCUGGAAUCCCCAGGACCCAAAAAAGGUCCCUGGACCUCACAGGUUCUCCUGGUUCCCUCUGGCUGGGGGCAGCAGUCAGAGACGUGUAAUCAUGGCAAUAUUUUGUGUAGAAAGGAAAGCCCUUCCCCAAACCAUGGAGCACUUUUAGCCCUGAUGCCCUCUUGCCUUGAAUAAGUCAACUCAGGUGUUCCAGUUGCACUUUAGUUUCAAAAGAAGAGCAAAUUCUUUCCCAGAACAGAUUUUGUGGGAAUAUCCGCACGUGUCAGGCCGAGGAGGAGUCUCUGAAGGACAAGUGGAAGGAGGUAUUAGGGCAGAAAGGAUUGCAGAGCCCAAGAGAGGACAAAACCCUUACAAAGAUGACCAUGGUGCCUGAGUUGGAGGUGUCUGGGGAGGGAAGAAAGCUGGAGAAGGAACAUCAGCUCCAAACUUUGGAUGAGGGGCCACUGCUUAGGGCAGGUUCAGCUGGAUGCAAGGUGAGAAGGUAGCAGGGAGAGUGUCUGAGCUGAGGACAGGAAAAGGGAAACUCCAGCCAGGACUGUAAACAAUGUGUUUGGAAAGGUUUAGGAUGGAAAGAUCUUCAGGUGGAGAAAGCAAAUGGGUUGAGGAGUUUACUGAAAUGAUCAGAGGUGUGAAGGGGCUCAAGGUAAUUAAUUUUAAAGGUGAGCUUGUGGUCCCACACAGAGUGGAUGGGUAAUAGGUGCAUGUUUUAGUGCAUUCAGCAUAAGAAAAAUAAGUUUCUGUUUUCUUACCUCCACAAAAGUCAGCGUUUUCUGCACUUUGUAAGCCCUCUUCUACACCACAGUGGUUGUUGGCAGUUAGUCAAUCCCUCGUUUCUGACUUGAAUUCUUGCUUCUGUGUUCAAACUUUUACCAUUGUGGGGUAAAAUGCUACUGUGGUAGGGUCACCAGAGUAAAAUAAAGGUUAAAAAUGCAGGUGGCCUCAAGACAGGCCUCCUUUUAGAACAAAAUGUUGAUGCCAAAGUGUAUCAGUUCUGUUUUGUUUUGAUGGGGACAGUGACAAAAAAAUGCAGGUAGAGACACCAAGUGUGCUUACAGACUUAAAUUUGGCAGACUUUUCUGAGGGUUCUUACACUGAAAUAUGCAUCUUUGAGACACUGUCACUGGUCACCAGAGAGAAGAGAUCAGUGCCUGCCCCUCCUGAGGAAGCCGUAAGACUUUUACAUCUCUGAAUUUUUAGUGAAGGCAGUUCUUGGGCUCUCUGUGCAACAAAAGCUGCCUGGGCCUAGGAAGCAACAUUUUUGUGCGUAUAUUUGUUGUGAAAAAUUUCAUCAAGCACAAUAGAAAGCAAGGUUUAUGAAAAAGCUCAGUGCUCUACAGAGGACUCAGGACUGAGAUCCCUCACUUUUUCUUGUGGAAACAUUCUUCCCUUCCUGCCAGAGCUGGCACUGAGACAACACCACUAUUUUUCUCCCUUGCACUGCUACCAUUAUAUUUUAAUAAUUACCUGGGAUAUGUUUUAUAUUUUGAACUUGCAGAACAAACAAUCUCCAGAGAAAGAUCUUUUCUUUUUUUUUUCUUUGUGGGAAAUUAUCCCCCCGUGAUAAAUUUCAAUUAUCUUCUGCUUCUUGAUGUGCUUUUUGAAAUAGGAGAGUGCAAGGAUGCACCUUACAGACACCUUGCCAGCAGCUGAAUCGUGCUGGACUUACUUCCAGUCCCUUCUGAAAUUAUAGGAUUUAUGGCUGGUCCUUACAAGUCACCUCUCUGAUGUGUAGGCAUUAGUUGGGAUUUUUUGUUCAUUCAAAGGUGUGUAAUUCUUUUCUGAAAUUGCCCUAUCUAUAAUAGCGUGGGGAAUAGUUUGUUAGUUACAUUCUAAAUGAGGAGGGAUUUGAGGGAUGUUCACAGGACUAGAAAAGUAGCUCUAAAUAUUUCACAGUUUUUUUGUACAGACAAUCACUUUUUAUGUUAAUCUGCCUGAGGAUUUGCUGGAGGAGGUGGGUAAGGAAUGGCAUCUUUCAAAACAAGCAAGGUGGAAAUACUGCCUUAGGGGAACAACAAAUUCAGUUUGUUAACCACAGGUUAAUGAAAUGCAGAUUCAAAUCUUCUGUACCUGUCCCUUUCUAGGACCUCAAGUGCCUCAAAGAGAUUAUUUAGAUUUUCCCUACUUAAAAACAUUUUCUGCCCAGAGAUGUAUGAAUUAUGGAGUUAGGUUUGAAUGUAACAUUUUUACUGAUUACUGUGGAGAAAUUGAGCCUAAACUUUUGGGACUGUGGCCAGUUGCCAGCCCUUGCAGGUAACUGUGCAUCCUCGCCAAGUGGUUUUCCUUGAAAUCACUUGUCUAGUGACAAUAUUUUUCUGUAGCACCUGAAAAUUGACUUUGAAAAGCAUGUGACCUCUUGCUAUUGUUCCUGGCAAAGAAAUGCAUAUUCUUUGUCCCCUCAUGCUUUGCAAUCUCUGUUUUAUGCUUUACUUUGGUGGUUUUUUUGGUGAUAUCCGGGUAACAAGCAGUGCAGCUGCUGCAGACCUUUUAUGCCAUCAGGUUAUACUAUAUUUUAAACUCUCUUAAUUCCCAAAGCUACGUUAAUUCUUUCCUUGACUUCUGCUCUAGUUCUUCCAUGUUAUAGGAUCUGUUGAUCUGUCUUAUUUGGUUUUUGCUUACAUUUGUGCCUCUGCACAUCUUGUAGAGGCAUCUCCUGGGAAACAUCUUCUCUUUGUUCAUGUUUUAGUCUUGAAAUCAGCACUUGAACGUGGCUGUAUUUUACAGAUUGGUUAUUUUGCUAUAAUUAAGCUUCAUGAAUAUGAAGAUUCAUGCAGUAUUCCCAGGGUGUCCUACGAAGUUAGGUUGAGCAAUAUGAUUUUAUUUCAUCUCUCUGUAACCCAUCAUCAUGUCAUUUUUUGCUAAAUUGAAAUGCCAUAUUGAUUCUUGGGAAAUACAGAGUGUGUACUUGCCAAUUUUUGUUUUUAUUUUUAAACCUAAGUAGAUGAACUGUGACAAUUGUUUUCUGGAGAGCCGAGACAGAAGUUUGCUGGGGGAGAGAAGGGGGGAAAUAAGGUCAAUGAAAACCUUAAAAUAUAUAUAUAUAUUUUUUUUUGCAAAUUUAUCCUCAUACUGAAAUUUAAUAAAAUGUGUAGUGGUAGAUUGAACUUUUUACUGAACAAAACCACUGACCAGAAGUUUUGAGACUUGAUUAUAUUUUUAGGAUUAACCUUGGCUUUCUGUGUGUUUGUUUGGGAGAGAGGCCCUCUAUAUCUCUCUAAAUUUUGCCUUGUUUCUGCCUUGCUCUCUGUCUCUAUUUCCCCUCUAUUUUGAUUUAUUUUUUAUUUAUUUGUUUUUUUCUUUUUAAGAUUCUCUGGGCAGGUACCACCUUUCAUUACAUGUGUGUACAGCAAGCAGUACAAAGGACACCAAUCUCAACUUGCUUUUAGGCAGCAGUGUCAUGAAUAUACUGACAAUAGGAAACCCAAAAGUCUGUUUGUGGAAGUGUUUCUGUGUUUCCUAUGUGGCUGAGUAGUUAUUUGUUUAUUGGCUGCAGCAGAAGAAUGAGUAGAAAUAAAUCCAAUCAAACUGGACAGAAAGCUUAAGGUUGAAUGAAGACAUCUGAGUUCCAGCAGAAGUCUUGCUGGACCCUUGUUGAUGAUAAAAUAUAGGUUUAUAAUUAUUUUUUUGCCCUGUUACAUUGCCUCUAUAAUUAUUUCCUUUGUGAUUUACUCUCCUUGCAAUGUAUUAGUGAUUUAUCAGAAGCUCUGAUGUGAAAAUUAAAGUUUUGCAAUUACUUGGCUCUUUGGAAAAUGCUCCUCAUCCUAUAGUUGGCUGAAACCUUAAAAGUGACAUUUAAGCUUUUAUAAACAAAUUACUUAUGUGAGCAAAUGUUUUUAUUUGCUUUACUGAGAAUGGAAUUCCUUCAUUCAGGUCUUGGGAAAUUUUUGAAUAUGUUGAGCACAAAUUUAUCCUCUAAACAGGAGUGAUCCAAGGCCCCAGCAAAAUCCUGCUUUGGUAUCAUGUUGACAUAAGAAAAGAUCAGUUUUCUCUCUACCAAAUUUCCAUUAAAGAUGUAGCAGUGAAGAAGGAAGAGGUUUAGAAUUGCUCUCAAAAUGUAUCAUGUAAAAGUGAAGGAACAUAGUUGCCUUCUAUAAAUCCAAGUGUAUAUAUAGCUAUAAAUAAUUUUUUU